AUGACGGAACCUUUCCCGUUUCAGUAUGACCAUAGGAACUUGGCAAAUGUAUUUGAUGUACUACUUGAUUUAACAUCUAUGCUUCCGAAUGUUUAUUAUAAAGAAAUUACCAAGGAAUAUGGAUAUGAGAGAUCACUUUGCUGUGCUAUAAAUGAUCGAUUAAAAUACAUAUUUCUUUUGUCUCCUGGUACUUUCUUAUCCCAGUGCUGUGCUGAGCCAUAUUGGAGCCUAAGGCAAAAGGGACCAUCAGUAACACUAAUCCUGUCUUUAUUUAAAAUUUUGAUAUUUUGUUCAUCAUGGAUUUAUUUGCAUAAAUUUUAAUAUUGAAAUCUAUUGAUUAAAAUAUUAUGUAUCUUGAUUACUGAGUUUUUCGUUAUCCCUUCUAUUCUUGAGACAAUGACUCAUUUAUCUGACCCUACUCUCUGCUCUCAUUACUCCUUCAAAACUACGUGUAUCUCCGGUCUUAGAACAUCCAAGCAACUUUAUAUUCCAAGUUAUUUAAAAGCAUGAUGAAUUUAGAAAAUAUCCACAUCACAGCUUUGGUAACUUCCAUUCCUCACAUUUGUAGGUAGAAACAUACCUACUCUUCUUUGCCUUUGUCUUCCGGGGAAAAAUAAAUAGUGCUGCUCCAAUUUUUGGCAUAUAAAAUUAUAAAUACCGUCUACUUUAUUGCACACCUUCUGAAAGUCUGAUCUCAAUUUAAUUAUAAUUAACAACCCAAAUCUUCUAUUAAUCAGUUCCUAGGUGUAGGGGAAUAAACUUGGGGCAGAGAUUGCAUCUAGUCUAGUUCAGCUUGAUAAAAAUACAUAUUCACUAACUUACUGAAUUCUAAUAUGGAAUUUCCCAAAGCGUAUUUCAGCAAGGAGAAUGAUCAUAAGGUCAGGGGGGAAAAAAGUAAUAAAAUUAGUUGGACAGUAAAGAUCUGAAGGAAACUUAAGAGAUUCUUUAUUUCAGAACUUAGUGCCUCUAAUAUGCUAAUGUUCUUUAGUAAUACAGAAAAUAACCUUAUAAAAUGCAGUGUUUUUUAAACAGAUCUAACUACAAAAACUUUAUAUAUAUAUAUAUCUGCAUGUAUGUGAG
rnacentral:lncRNA from 1 species